AACACAUUUAAACAUAAAAAAACCCAGAAAUCAGCAUAAUGACAUGCUCACCGCGCGUAUAGCAGCUAUGGUGUUCUCUGGAGCGUCGUGUCCACCACCGCGGUGCGCCACCGCUGACACGCCGCCCGACGACACUCUAGACCCGGGCCGAAGCAGCUGUCUGACCCGGCUGGAGGGGACCUGGGGGAACCGGAACAUCACCAUGAAGAGGUAGAGAGAGGCCGUGAGCACCGUGGGCCAGACUGCGCUUCUGCUUCCCAGCAGAACCACGACGAAGACAACAGAGAACAGCAAGCACUGCGCGAUGCACUGAACUUGUCUGGAGAUGAAGCACUGCGCGAUGCACUGGACUCGUAUGCAGAUGCAGCCUGAAACCCUUUAGCACAUAUCCUCAAUCUGAGUUGCCCUAAGGAUUGCCCUUGACAGCCAGUAUCUUACUCUACUUGUACCCACAGGAUAAACGUGGUAUGCGUAUUUUU